rnacentral:rRNA from 1 species
AUGGGCGCAAGCCUGAUGCAGCCAUGCCGCGUGUGUGAAGAAGGCCUUCGGGUUGUAAAGCACUUUCAGCGGGGAGGAAGGCGUUAAGGUUAAUAACCUUGGCGAUUGACGUUACCCGCAGAAGAAGCACCGGCUAACUCCGUGCCAGCAGCCGCGGUAAUACGGAGGGUGCAAGCGUUAAUCGGAAUUACUGGGCGUAAA